rnacentral:rRNA from 1 species
GACGGAGGAUGCAAGUGUUAUCCGGAAUCACUGGGCGUAAAGCGUCUGUAGGUUGUUUAAAAAGUCUGCAGUUAAAGGUUGAAGCUUAACUUCAAAAAUGCCGUAGAAACUUUUAAACUAGAGGAUGGUAGGGGUAGAGGGAAUUUCCAGUGGAGCGGUGAAAUGUGUAGAUAUUGGAAAGACCACCAAUGGCGAAGGCACUCUACUGGGCCAUGACUGACACUGAGAGACGAAAGCUAGGGGAGCAAAUGGG